UAGGGAAUCUUAGACAAUGGGCGAAAGCCUGAUCUAGCCAUGCCGCGUGUGUGACGAAGGCCCUAGGGUCGUAAAGCACUUUCGCCAGGGAUGAUAAUGACAGUACCUGGUAAAGAAGUCCCGGCUAACUCCGUGCCAGCAGCCGCGGUAAUACGGAGGGGACUAGCGUUGUUCGGAAUUACUGGGCGUAAAGCGCGCGUAGGCGGACCGAAAAGUUGGGGGUGAAAUCCCGGGGCUCAACCCCGGAACUGCCUCCAAAACUGCCGGUCUAGAGUUCGAGAGAGGUGAGUGGAAUUCCGAGUGUAGAGGUGAAAUUCGUAGAUAUUCGGAGGAACACCAGUGGCGAAGGCGGCUCACUGGCUCGAUACUGACGCUGAGGUGCGAAAGCGUGGGGAGCAAACAGGAUUAGAUACCCCCGUAGUCC
rnacentral:rRNA from 1 species